CCAAGCUGAUAACCAACUGCUAACGAGGGCGUCAGGGCCAGAGCCAGGAGGACAAGAGACUCACAGUUCAGGAUUGGAUGUCCUGAGUCACAGAAGCCCCAGCUGUCCACUAACCAGCACCCCGCUGAAUCCGACAGCUCGGAAGAGGACGAGGAUAUGAAAGACCAGCCAUAAUGUGGUCGGCAAUUACCGACGGUUUUUGGGAACUGGUGGGAGAGCAAUGCGUUGAUGUCUGGGAUCGACUGUGAAACGUUGUGAUGUCUCACUUUUAUCUCUGCGGACUGGUGAGGAUGAUGGUGACUUGGUUAAGUUGGUGUCCUGGACGACCCAACAUGGAUCUACGGCUCCUUCAACUGUAGGAGGUCACCAAAGUGCGAACUCUUGGAGAGGCCAGACCCCUCCAGGCCUCUUCCCGAGCCUGCCCCCUGCUCGGGGCCCAGGAGGCUGACCUGCUUGGACUACAGCCAUCGGCUCCCUGCCCACUGGCUUCUGGCUGGACUUGGCCAUCAGGAAGCACUGGUGGGAGACAGGGAGAAGAGGCCCAUUGGGGUGGACACCGUGGACGGCUCACCUGAGGGACCACGUGGGUGCAGGACGGGAACAGCAUGACCAACCAUCCUAGUUCCCCCAGGGCUGCAGGUUUCCCAGGACAGGGGACUUCCUGUGCUAGGACCAGGAGGGGCCAGGCAGACUGUGGAAUGUGACUUUACAAGGUGACUUAAACAAAACUCAAGGGAGCUCAGGACAGUGGUUAAGACCCAUCGAAGAGUAGCUACUCU